rnacentral:rRNA from 1 species
GAUGAACGCUAGCGGCAGGCCUAAUACAUGCAAGUCGAACACUCAGUAGCAAUACUGGGAGUGGCGCACGGGUGCGUAACGCGUACACAAUCUACCUCUAAGCGGGGACACCUCCUGGAACGGGGAUUAAUACCGCAUAAUAUGCCGAGGUCGCAUGAACUUUGGUAUUAAAGCAGCAAUGCACUUAGAGAUGAGUGUGCGUCCCAUUAGGUAGUUGGUGAGGUAACGGCUCACCAAGCCUAUGAUGGGUAGCCGGUCUGAGAGGGAUAGUCGGCCACACGGGCACUGAGACACGGGCCCGAUCCUACGGGAGGCAGCAGUAAGGAAUAUGGUCAAUGGUGGAAACACUGAACCAGCCAUGCCGCGUGGAGGAAUAAGG